GGUACGCACUACUGUCGGCCGGCUCGCGUGCCGGUUUUCCCGUCGUGGCCUUCGCCGGUCGCGGCGGGUGGCUGGCGAGUUUACUUUGAGAAAAUCAGAGUGCUCAACACAGGCGUCUAGCUUGAAUGAUUGUGCAUGGAAUAAUGGAAAAGGAUCACGGUCCUCUUUUAUUGGUUUUGUGGACUGAGAUAAUGGUUAACAGGGACAAACGGGGGCAUUCGUAUCGCUGCGUGAGAGGUGAAAUUCUUGGACCGUAGCGAGACGCCCGACUGCGAAAGCAUUUGCCAAGAAUGUCUUCAUUAAUCAAGAACGAAAGUCAGAGGUUCGAAGGCGAUCAGAUACCGCCCUAGUUCUGACCGUAAACGAUGCCAACUAGCGAUUCGCCGGUGGAUUUCACGCCCUGGUGAGUAGCUUCCCGGAAACGAAAGUCUUCCGGUUCCGGGGGAAGUAUGGUUGCAAAGCUGAAACUUAAAGGAAUUGACGGAAGGGCACCACCAGGAGUGGAGCCUGCGGGCUUAAUUUGACUCAACACGGGGAAACUCACCCGGCCCGGACACCGUGAGGAUUGACAGAUUGAGAGCUCUUUCAUGAUUCGGUGGUUGGUGGUGCAUGGCCGUUCUUAGUUCGUGGAUCGAUUUGUCUGGUUUAUUCCGAUAACGAGCGAGACUCUAGCCUACUAAAUAGCCGCGAUAUUAUUUUCGUUGUGUCGCGCGCUUCUUAGAGGGAUUCGCGG
rnacentral:rRNA from 1 species